rnacentral:rRNA from 1 species
CUACGGGUUGCUGCAGUGGGGAAUAUUGGACAAUGGGGGAAACCCUGAUCCAGCAAUGCCGCGUGUGUGAAGAAGGCCUGCGGGUUGUAAAGCACUUUCGGUUGGGAGGACUGCUUCUAGCACUAAUAUUGUUGGAAGUUGACGUUACCUUCAGAGGAAGCACCGGCUAACUCCGUGCCAGCAGCCGCGGUAAUACGGAGGGUGCAAGCGUGAAUCGGAAUUACUGGGCGUAAAGCGCGCGUAGGCGGCUAGAUCAGUCGGGUGUGAAAGCCCCGGGCUUAACCUGGGAACUGCAUCCGAUACUGUCUAGCUUGAGUACAGGAGAGGAGAGUGGAAUUCCACAUGUAGCGGUGAAAUGCGUAGAUAUGUGGAGGAACACCAAUGGCGAAGGCAGCUCUCUGGCCUGAUACUGACGCUGAGGUGCGAAAGCGUGGGGAGCAAACAGGAUUAGAUACCCGGGUAGUC